AGUGAACGCUGGCGGUAGGCCUAACACAUGCAAGUCGAACGGCAGCACAGUAAAAGCUGGCUCUUACGGGUGGCGAGUGGCGGACGGGGGGGGAAUACAUCGGAAUCUACUUUUUCGGGGGGGUUAAGGAAGGGAAACUAACGCAAAUACGGCUUCGGACCACCGGUGGAAACAAGGGAUUCUUCGACCCUGGCGGGAUUGAAUGGGCCGAUGUCGGAUUAGCAAGUUGGCGGGGUAAAGGCCAACCAAGGCGACGAUCCGUAGCUGGUCUGAGAGGAUGAUCAGCCACACUGGAACUGAGACACGGUCCAGACUCCUACGGGAGGCAGCAGUGGGGAAUAUUGGACAAUGGGCGCAAGCCUGAUCCAGCCAUACCGCGUGGGUGAAGAAGGCCUUCGGGUUGUAAAGCCCUUUUGUUGGGAAAGAAAAGCAGCAGGUUAAUACCCCGCUGUUCUGACGGUACCCAAAGAAUAAGCACCGGCUAACUUCGUG
rnacentral:rRNA from 1 species